CCUACGGGAGGCAGCAGUGGGGAAUAUUGCACAAUGGGGGAAACCCUGAUGCAGCGACGCCGCGUGAGUGAAGAAGUCUUUCGGUAUGUAAAGCUCUAUCAGCAGGGAAGAAAAUGACGGUACCUGAUUAAGAAGCCCCGGCCAACUACGUGCCAGCAGCCGCGGUAAUACGUAGGGGGCAAGCGUUAUCCGGAUUUACUGGGUGUAAAGGGAGCGUAGACGGCAGCACAAGUCUGGAGUGAAAUGCCGGGGCUUAACCCCGGAACUGCUGUGGAAACUGUGCAGCGAGAGUGCAGGAGAGGUAAGCGGAAGUCGUAGUGUAGCGGUGAAAUGCGUAGAUAUUAGGAGGAACACCAGUGGCGAAGGCAGCUUACUGGACUGUAACUGACGUUGAGGCUCGAAAGCGUGGGGAGCGAACAGGAUUAGAUACCCCUGUAGUC
rnacentral:rRNA from 1 species